CGAAGGGUGCAAGCGUUACUCGGAAUUACUGGGCGUAAAGCGUGCGUAGGUGGUGAGUUAAGUCUGUCGUGAAAGCCCCGGGCUCAACCUGGGAAUGGCGAUGGAUACUGGCUCGCUAGAGUGCGGUAGAGGGUGGUGGAAUUCCCGGUGUAGCAGUGAAAUGCGUAGAGAUCGGGAGGAACAUCAGUUGCGAAGGCGGCCACCUGGACCAGCACUGACACUGAGGCACGAAAGCGUGGGGAGCAAACAGGAUUAGAUACCCUGGUAGUCCACGCCCUAAACGAUGCGAACUGGACGUUGGGAGCAACUAGGCUCUCAGUGUCGAAGCUAACGCGUUAAGUUCGCCGCCUGGGGAGUACGGUCGCAAGACUG
rnacentral:rRNA from 1 species